CCAGACUCCUACGGGAGGCAGCAGUGAGGAAUAUUGGUCAAUGGCCGGAAGGCUGAACCAGCCAAGCCGCGUGAAGGACGAAGGUGCCAAGCAUUGUAAACUUCUUUUGUCAAGGGACAAAAUCAGGCUCGAGAGCCUGACCGAGGGUACUUGAAGAAAAAGCAUCGGCUAACUCCGUGCCAGCAGCCGCGGUAAUACGUAGGGAGCAAGCGUUAUCCGGAUUUAUUGGGUGUAAAGGGUGCGUAGACGGGAAAUUAAGUUAGUUGUGAAAUCCCUCGGCUCAACUGAGGAACUGCAACUAAAACUGAUUUUCUUGAGUGCAGGAGAGGUAAGUGGAAUUCCUAGUGUAGCGGUGAAAUGCGUAGAUAUUAGGAGGAACACCAGUGGCGAAGGCGACUUACUGGACUGUAACUGACGUUGAGGCACGAAAGUGUGGGGAGCAAACAGGAUUAGAUACCCCUGUACUG
rnacentral:rRNA from 1 species